AAUAGAUACCCAGGUAGUCCACGCCGUAAACGAUGAGUGCUAAGUGUUAGAGGGUUUCCGCCCUUUAGUGCUGCAGCUAACGCAUUAAGCACUCCGCCUGGGGAGUACGGUCGCAAGACUGAAACUCAAAGGAAUUGACGGGGGCCCGCACAAGCGGUGGAGCAUGUGGUUUAAUUCGAAGCAACGCGAAGAACCUUACCAGGUCUUGACAUCCCACUGACCGGUAUAGAGAUAUACCUUUCCCUUCGGGGACAGUGGUGACAGGUGGUGCAUGGUUGUCGUCAGCUCGUGUCGUGAGAUGUUGGGUUAAGUCCCGCAACGAGCGCAACCCUUGAUCUUAGUUGCCAGCAUUUAGUUGGGCACUCUAAGGUGACUGCCGGUGACAAACCGGAGGAAGGUGGGGAUGACGUCAAAUCAUCAUCGCCCCUUAUGACCUGGGCUACACACGUGCUACAAUGGAUGGUACAAAGGGCUGCAAGACUGCGAAGUCAAGCCAAUCCCAAUAAAACCAUUCUCAGUUCGGAUUGCAGG
rnacentral:rRNA from 1 species